CCCUUAGAUGUCCUGGGCCGCACGCGCGUUACACUGAUGCAUUCAACGAGAUUAUAACCUUGGCCGAGAGGCCUGGGCAAUCUUGUUAACGUGCAUCGUGAUAGGGAUAGAUUAUUGAAAUUAUUAAUCUUGAACGAGGAAUUCCUAGUAAACGCAGAUCAUCAAUCUGCAUUGAUUACGUCCCUGCCCUUUGUACACACCGCCCGUCGCACCUACCGAUUGGAUGGUCCGGUGAAGCCUCGGGAUUGUGGUUCUUGCCGCUUUAUUGUGGCGUGACCGCGAGAACUUGUCUAAACCUUAUCAUCUAGAGGAAGGUGAAGUCGUAACA
rnacentral:rRNA from 1 species